rnacentral:misc_RNA from 1 species
AAGGAGCCUAACAUAUAUGCGAGUAUUUGGGUGGCAAACCCUUAUGCGAAAUGAAAGUGAGUACGGGUGGGAUCCCGCAAGGGCGCACCAUUGACCGAUCUGGAUUUCUCAUGAUGGAUUCGCGUUAGAGCAUUUCUGUUGGGACCCGAAAGAUGGUGAACUAUGCCCGGAUAGGAUGAAGCCAGAGGAAACUCUGGUGGAGGUCCGAAGCGGUUCUGACGUGCAAAUCGAUCGUCAAAUCUGGGUAUAGGGGCGAAAGACUAAUCGAACCAUCUAGUAGCUGGUUUCUUC